ACUCCUACGGGAGGCAGCAGUGGGAAUAUUGCGCAAUGGGGGCAACCCUGACGCAGCCAUGCCGCGUGAGUGAAGAAGGCCUUAGGGUUGUAAAACUCUUUCAGUGGUGAAGAUAAUGACGGUAGCCACAGAAGAAGCCCGGCCAACUCCGUGCCAGCAGCCGCGGUAAUACGGAGGGGCGUAGCGUUGUUCGGAAUUACUGGGCGUAAAGCGCGCGUAGCGGACUGGUCAGUUGGGGUGAAAUCCGGGCAUAAGCCUCGGAACUGCCUUCAAUACUGCCAGUCUUGAGUUCGAGAGAGGUAAGCGGAAUUCCUAGUGUAGAGGUGAAAUUCGUAGAUAUUAGGAAGAACACCGGUGGCGAAGGCGGCUUACUGGCUCGAUACUGACGCUGAGGCGCGAAAGCGUGGGGAGCAAACAGGAUUAGAUACCCUGGUAGGCUCUGC
rnacentral:rRNA from 1 species